rnacentral:lncRNA from 1 species
AAUAAAGAAAACCCAAUGGGAGGCAACGCUGGAGAUAGAAACCCUAGGAAAGAAAUCUGGAACCAUAGAUGUGAGCAUCAGCAAUUGAAUACAAGAGAUGGAAGAGAGAAUAUCAGGUGCAGAAGAUUCCAUAGAGAACAUCGGCACAACAAUCAAAGAAAAUGCAAAACACAAAAAGAUCCUAAUUCAAAACAUCCAGGAAAUCCAGAACACAAUGAGAAGACCAAACCUACGGAUAGGAGGUAGAUGAGAAUGAAGAUUUUCAACUUAAAGGGCCAGCAAAUAUCUUCAACAAAAUUAUAGCAGAAAACUUCCCAAACCUAAAGAAAGAGAUGCCCAUGAACAUGCAAGAAGUCUACAGAACUCCAAAUAGACUGGACCAGAAAAGAAAUUCCUCCCGACACAUAAUAAUCAGAACAACAAAUGCACUAAAUAAAGAUAGAAAAUUAAAAGCAGUAAGGGAAAAAGGUCAAGUAAUGUAUAAAGGCAGGCCUAUCAGAAUUACACCAGACUUUUCACCAGAGACUAUGAAAGCCAGAAGAUCCUGUACAGAUGUUAUAAAGACACUAAGAGAACACAAAUGCCAACCCAGGCUACUAUACCCAGCCAAACUCUCUAUUACCAUAGAUGGAGAAACCAAAAUUCCACGACUAAACCAAAUUCACACAUUAUCUUUCCACCAAUCCAGCCCGUCUAAGGAUAAUAACAGG